CCUACGGGUGGCUGCAGUAGGGAAUAUUGGACAAUGGGCGAAAGCCUGAUCCAGCCAUGCCGCGUGGUAGAUGAAGGCCCUCUGGGUUGUAAAUACCUUUUAUCUGGGAAGAAAUAUCUCGUUCUCGAGAAACUGACGGUACCAGAUGAAUAAGCACCGGCUAACUCCGUGCCAGCAGCCGCGGUAAUACGGAGGGUGCAAGCGUUAUCCGGAUUUACUGGGUUCGUAGGCGGCGUUAUAAGGCAGUGAUGAAAGCCCCGAGCUUAACUUGGGAAUUGCCAUUGAUACUGUUUUUCUUGAAUACGAUUGAGGUAAGCGGAAUGUUGCAUGUAGCGGUGAAAUGCUUAGAUAUGUUACAGAACACCAAUUGCGAAGGCAGCUUACUAAGUCGUCAUUGACGCUGAGGCACGAAAGCGUGGGGAGCAAACAGGAUUAGAUACCCUUGUAGUC
rnacentral:rRNA from 1 species